rnacentral:SRP_RNA from 1 species
GCACUAACCGGGGAGUCAGCGGUUCCUUAUCACCUGAAAUCCGCUAUAUGCAGGGGUUAAUUCCGUUCCAGAGGAUUCGUCUUUAUUGCCGUCUGCCUCGUAUGCAAAGCUGUGAGAGACCGGUCCCGCGCAACAGAUCGCCGUGAACCAUGUCAGGCGGGGAACCGAGCAGCAUUAAGCGGCAUCGUCUGUGUGCCGCGGCCAACCGGUUUUGAGCCGAGCAUACGGGUUACGGGCCAUGGGCGUCUUCGAGG